rnacentral:sRNA from 1 species
UUUCUCGUGUAAUGAAAGGGAGCAAGUGCGGAGGGAGCUCCAAAGAGAUUGACCUAUGAUGAGAUUCAGAGCAAGACAUACAUGGAAGUGAAAGGAACUGGAACGGCUAACCAGUGCCCUACUAUUGACGGUGGCUCUGAGACUUUCUCGUUCAAACCCGGAAAGUAUGCAGGAAAGAAGUUCUGCUUCGAGCCUACUUCCUUCACCGUCAAGGCAGACAGUGUAAGCAAGAACGCUCCUCCAGAGUUCCAGAACACAAAGCUCAUGACCCGUCUUACCUACACCCUUGACGAGAUCGAAGGACCCUUCGAGGUUCGAUUUCGC